AUUUUUUUUCCAUAGAAUUUCUGGAAACAUUGCAUUGUUUGUACUACAAUGCAUUCUUUCCGCAAAAACACUUAAACUUGGUGCUGGUGAAUCCUGAAAGGCUACUGUUCUGAAAAAACAAAACAAUGCCUUGUUAGCUAUGUGAACGAGAAUUUUCUACCAAUGACGUUUCUGAUUUGUGCUUCACAGAUUAUUUUCUUUGGUAUCUUUUUUUCUUUUUCCAGAAAAUAAUUGCGUUCGGUCUACAUGUGAGCGAUUUCAUCAUUUCCUUCUUGUAAAAUCUAAGCAACAAGAUGCAGCUGUCCCUCCACUUGAAGAAACUCUCUGGAAGAUAACAGAGCCUGAUCCUGAACUUAUUUCUCAAAAUAAAGCUGUUUAUAGAUUAAUUUCAUAGAUGCUUCGAACUGAAAGAGAAUUUGAAUGUUAUUUUGGCCGAUCAUCAUAAUUAUUUUUUGUAUGCAACCAAAUUCUACAGAAGUAGUGGUUUUUCUUACUCAGUUUAUUCUGUAGCUUAAGUUGUCUCAAAUAUUAUUAAUAGAGAAACCAACUGGAUCAAGUGAGGAAGGAGUUGGCGAAGGUACUGAUGUGCAAGACACUGAAUUCACUUCUUGAGUAAAGUUGAGAAAAUGGGGGAUUUGGAUCCUGUUCAAGAUUUUGAAGCCAUGAUGUCUCAAAGAGAUAGUACAGAAUAGGUUAAUAAAGCAAUUCAAGAUAUGAAAAAUCACCCAGGAAAUUGCCUAGACACUAAAAGCCUACUUGUAAAUGAUGAUUCAAUUUAUCACAUAUUGUUUGGUUCAAUAUAUGACUAGAUAAUCAGUAUUUUAUCUUUAUUGGCGUGUAACUUUCAAUCUUGAAUAUUUUAUUCACACUUGUUGGCCCAUUCCCCUUCCUCAAUGUUAUUUUACAUCUCUUGUUGACUGCACAACGUCAUAGUAGGAAGAACAGUGGAAGUGUUGUUUUAGGAGUUAUUAAUGAUGAAGUUCUCGUGUUAUUCUCUAACAAUUUCUGCAGCUCUGCCAGAUUCAAAUUACAGUUGUAUUCAGGGAAAUAUGUUGACUGUAUUUUUUAUCCUUGUGAUUAAGCAUACUAUUUCAACUAUAUAUUGGUUCUUAUCCAAGAAAUGAACCCAAACAAUUCAAUGAUUUCCUGCACCAUCUUGUCAAAUUCUGCCAAGAGAAAGACCUCAAAAGAUUCGGUGAAUAUCUUGCAUCACUAGAAAUUACACUGAUAAGCAAGAAAGAAGCACCUGACAGUGAGUCUCCCAGGAUGAUGCCUGAAGCUUUAUUGUUAAAAGGGAGCCAAAAGCCGAGCAAGGAUUGUGAGAAUUGACCUGGUGGCCUCUAGUUUGGCAUGGUCACGAGAAAUUCACUCAGAUAUUUUGAUGAUAUAUUUUCUACUCGUGUCUUUGAUAUGUAUAACUUCAACAGGAAUCACGCCAAACAAUGGAUUUGAAACUUGUCCAUUCUGAAAAGUUGCACAUAUUUUUCAAGCUUAAUCUUUCAAUUGGCAAUGAAAGAAAACUUGAUGUUAAUGUAAAAUGAUGUUUCAAUGAAUUAUUGGGUAGACGGUAAGUUGUACAACCAAUUUUGGACGUUGGAUCUCAACUUCUUUCAGAGAGUCUCUAUUUUAAUUCUUGGAGGGUGUAGACUUGCAGUACUACGUAAAUUGUGUAAUGCAGUAUGGAAGAAAUGCUUCAUUUUUUACUUCUUCUCAUUUUGAGUGUUGGAAUGUUUAGUAUUAAUAUCAUUCUGGGAUC